rnacentral:ribozyme from 1 species
UCUAUUUUUUUCAAUCCAACUCUGAAUUCGGAUUAAAAAGAAAGAAGCAAAAAAAUUACAAAUAGACGUUAACCAAUUUGGUUAACGUAAAGCUCUCCCGAGAUAUUUUUAAACAAAGCCCCCAGUAA